rnacentral:rRNA from 1 species
GACGAACGCUGGCGGCGUGCUUAACACAUGCAAGUCGAACGGUGAAGCGCCUUCCUUUUUGGUGGUUGUUGAUGAGUGGCGAACUGGUUAGUAAGACGGGAGUAACCUUCCCCCUGCUGCUGGAUAACCGCAAGAAAGUGUUGCUAAUACGUAAUAUCCUUGGUCUGUCGCUUUAUGGGUCUGAGAAGGAUAUUGUUUCGGUGGGGGAUGUGCUCGCGUCCUGUCAGCUUGUGGGGGGGGUGAUGGCCUACCAAGGCGUGUACGGUUAGCCGGCCGGAGAGGGCGGACGGACACAGUGGGAGUGAGACACGGACCAGACUCGUAAGGGAGCAAGAAGGGGGGAAUAGCGAACAAUGGGAGCAAGACUGAUGAAGCGACGCCGAGUGAGGGAUGGAGGCCUUCGGGUUGUGAACGUCUUUCGAGAGUGAAGCAGGUCUGCCUGGUUUGUGGGUGGGUUGACGGUAGCUGGAUAAGAAGCGCCGGCUAACUACGUG